UACGGAGGGUGCUAGCGUUGUUCGGAAUCACUGGGCGUAAAGGGCGCGUAGGCGGCCGCUUGCGUCGGAUGUGAAAGCCCGGGGCUCAACCCCGGAACGGCAUCCGAUACGGGGGGGCUCGAGUCCGGGAGAGGUGAGUGGAAUACCCAGUGUAGAGGUGAAAUUCGUAGAUAUUGGGUGGAACACCGGUGGCGAAAGCGGCUCACUGGCUCGGUUCUGACGCUGAGGCGCGAAAGCGUGGGGAGCAAACAGG
rnacentral:rRNA from 1 species